GCGAUCACGACGGGAGAACCGGCCUUGCCGGUGCCGAAGGCGCAACCGCCCCGGAAACGCUCAGGCCCCACGGACCGUCGCGGUGCA
rnacentral:ncRNA from 2 species